AGUUGGAUGUCAAACCGCCGGAUUCUACCUGGCAACUGCAUCCAAAACUGGCGAGCUAGAGUAUGGCAGAGGGUGGCUGAAUUUCGAGUGUGCUUAUCAAAUGCGUCGAUCUCGGAAGGAACACCAGUGGCGAAGGCGACCACCUGGGCUAAUACUGACACUGAGGUGCGAAAGCGUGGGGAGCAAACAGGAUUAGAAAC
rnacentral:rRNA from 1 species